UUUUAUGGAGAGUUUGAUCCUGGCUCAGGAUGAACGCUGGCGGCGUGCCUAAUACAUGCAAGUCGAGCGAACAGACAAGGAGCUUGCUCCUUUGACGUUAGCGGCGGACGGGUGAGUAACACGUGGGUAACCUACCUAUAAGACUGGGAUAACUUCGGGAAACCGGAGCUAAUACCGGAUAAUAUUUCGAACCGCAUGGUUCGAUAGUGAAAGAUGGUUUUGCUAUCACUUAUAGAUGGACCCGCGCCGUAUUAGUUAGUUGGUAAGGUAACGGCUUACCAAGGCGACGAUACGUAGCCGACCUGAGAGGGUGAUCGGCCACACUGGAACUGAGACACGGUCCAGACUCCUACGGGAGGCAGCAGUAGGGAAUCUUCCGCAAUGGGCGAAAGCCUGACGGAGCAACGCCGCGUGAGUGAUGAAGGUCUUCGGAUCGUAAAACUCUGUUAUUAGGGAAGAACAUACGUGUAAGUAACUAUGCACGUCUUGACGGUACCUAAUCAGAAAGCCACGGCUAACUACGUGCCAGCAGCCGCGGUAAUACGUAGGUGGCAAGCGUUAUCCGGAAUUAUUGGGCGUAAAGCGCGCGUAGGCGGUUUUUUAAGUCUGAUGUGAAAGCCCACGGCUCAACCGUGGAGGGUCAUUGGAAACUGGAAAACUUGAGUGCAGAAGAGGAAAGUGGAAUUCCAUGUGUAGCGGUGAAAUGCGCAGAGAUAUGGAGGAACACCAGUGGCGAAGGCGACUUUCUGGUCUGUAACUGACGCUGAUGUGCGAAAGCGUGGGGAUCAAACAGGAUUAGAUACCCUGGUAGUCCACGCCGUAAACGAUGAGUGCUAAGUGUUAGGGGGUUUCCGCCCCUUAGUGCUGCAGCUAACGCAUUAAGCACUCCGCCUGGGGAGUACGACCGCAAGGUUGAAACUCAAAGGAAUUGACGGGGACCCGCACAAGCGGUGGAGCAUGUGGUUUAAUUCGAAGCAACGCGAAGAACCUUACCAAAUCUUGACAUCCUUUGACAACUCUAGAGAUAGAGCCUUCCCCUUCGGGGGACAAAGUGACAGGUGGUGCAUGGUUGUCGUCAGCUCGUGUCGUGAGAUGUUGGGUUAAGUCCCGCAACGAGCGCAACCCUUAAGCUUAGUUGCCAUCAUUAAGUUGGGCACUCUAAGUUGACUGCCGGUGACAAACCGGAGGAAGGUGGGGAUGACGUCAAAUCAUCAUGCCCCUUAUGAUUUGGGCUACACACGUGCUACAAUGGACAAUACAAAGGGCAGCGAAACCGCGAGGUCAAGCAAAUCCCAUAAAGUUGUUCUCAGUUCGGAUUGUAGUCUGCAACUCGACUACAUGAAGCUGGAAUCGCUAGUAAUCGUAGAUCAGCAUGCUACGGUGAAUACGUUCCCGGGUCUUGUACACACCGCCCGUCACACCACGAGAGUUUGUAACACCCGAAGCCGGUGGAGUAACCAUUUGGAGCUAGCCGUCGAAGGUGGGACAAAUGAUUGGGGUGAAGUCGUAACAAGGUAGCCGUAUCGGAAGGUGCGGCUGGAUCACCUCCUUUCU
rnacentral:rRNA from 1 species